rnacentral:misc_RNA from 1 species
AAUGGAAUUUGAAGGUGUUGAUUUUGCUUUUUGUUCAACCAUUUCCUGUAUGUUUUUCUGAUGAAAUUUCACUUGCUUAAUUUUAGCAUGAUGAAAAAUAGAGGUAGGAGAAGUGAAUUCCCCUGGGUGCAAGAACAAGUUGUAGUUUUCUUCUUUCUUUGGUGGUGUAUAUUUUAUUCACUUGGAGGAGGAUAUAACGACCAUUCAAAUGCAAGAUGGCAUACAUAUCAAAGGAUAUUGAAAUAUUAAUGGCAAUGUGCAAUAUGAAAACUGCUGGGA